UGACAGAAGAGAGUGAGCAC
rnacentral:miRNA from 49 species